rnacentral:misc_RNA from 1 species
UACAGAGACCUCAAGCGUUAUCCGGAUUUAUUGGGCGUAAAGCGUAGGUAGGCGGGUAUGUUUGUCGGAUGUUAAAGCUCGGGGCUCAACCCCGAAUCAGCAUUCGAAACGGCAUAUCUAGAGAGUGUGAGAGAUCAGUGGAAUUUAUGGUGUAGUAGUGAAAUGCGUUGAUAUCAUAAAGAACACCCAAGGCGAAGGCAACUGAUUGGCGCACUUCUGACGCUGAGCUACGAAAGCGUGGGUAGCGAAUGGG